rnacentral:lncRNA from 1 species
ACUCUUUGGCUGCUCCAGCUGGGCCAGAGAUCCACUGAUCUCCAUGGAUCCCCAGAGGACAGAGCCUGGUAGCCAGACCAACAGGAACACCUAGGGCGGGACCAGGCCUGAUUUCAAAAAGAAGGACAUAAGGCACCAGCUCCAGGAACAGACCGUAAAACCCCCUCCCAAAGAACAGGCUGGGGAUAAUCACCGAAACGAGAAAAUAUCGUACCUCAGAAUGGGCCAUCUGUGCUGGGAAGCUCUAUUUCAACCUGUGGUAAACAUCCAUGACAUAGGAACACAGACCACUGAGCACUGUGACCUACAGCACCCACCAAUGACAUUUUAGAUUCCCUAAUUCUUCUAGACAGUUCCCCUGGUUCCCUGUAAGAAGGCUUCCAUGCCAUUGUCUGGGUCACCAUUUCAAAGAAUGGCUGAACCUCACCGGUACCUCCACCCCCACAUGCUGGCUGUUUCUGCAGAAUGAGCUCUCUUUGUCUUUGCAUUUGCUCCGAGUUUGGGGUCUAUAUCGACUUUUGAACCCUUACAGCCUGAAGCUUACAAGAAUGUUUUUUAAGUUUACAAAAAGAGAUAAAAGUUUUAGAUGUAUUGACAUUAUGACAUGUUGUAAUCUAUACUGAAUCCCACAUUGUAGGAAAGGCAGUAGCCUCGCAUCUUUGACUCAUAGUAAAAGCUCGGGAGCCCAAAAAUAUUUUGGGUUUUAAAACAUCUGUGAGUUUAUCUCCUUUCAGAAUCUGGGCUUUCUCAGCUGAAGAUGUCAUAGUCCCAGGAAAGUGAGGCCUGAGGUUUGAUUUUUACAUGUGAAAAAAGAAGGCAGUUGUAGCCUUGGGUGGGAGGCAGUUAAAGCUAUAGUCAAUAUCAGAGAUCUGAGAAGGAUAAAUUAUACCAAGAGGUAUAAUACCAAUGGCCAAUGUAUCAAUAAAAAGGACCUAGACUUAACCACUAUCUACAAUGGCAGUCCUAGGAGGUCCCCAUGGUCUUGAUGGCUUUGUUGGCGGAAGUGGUCAUAGUGUAUUGCCCAAGUUGCAGGUCCCCAAAGACGACCAAGUACCCAAUUCCAAUGUAAAUUCAUAAGGGCUUAUUACUGAAAGGAAAAUUAUACGAAUUUAAGGUUUAAAAAUAUAAAACUAAAAGAGUAAGCCCCAAAAGCCACAGACUCAGGGCUAAGCCCUGCCACCAGGAAUAGCAGGCCAUAAAGAUAAAGAAAAGGAAUGAGGAUCCAGCCCAGGCUAUCGGAACUGAUUCAUGGGCCAUCCGGCAAGAAGACAUCCCCCCAGUUUACUCAGGGCCAUACUUUAACCAGAUGUCCUCCAGACCCUGAUAAGCCCCUGACUUCUAGCACGUACUCUUCUGCUUUGUUCUCACUGCUAUGUUUGAAUGAGCCAAUUGUGUGUAACUGCGCCAAAA